UAAUUUUUUUUUAAUUUUGCAGAUGGCCGGUGGUAAAAAGAAACUUUCAGGUUCCGAAAACAGAAAGAGAAAACUUGAGAAGAAAAUUUAAAGAAGUUGACAACUCUAAUUGGAUUUUUUUUCCGGCAAAGUACAUCUUCUGCAACUGUGGAUGAAGAAGAAAGACCUUCAAGAGAUUUAGAAAAUACUGCAUGUAUUGAAGAAGCCUCUACUUCUGCUCUUGCAGCUGAAUCUCCCUUGACGUCUGAGACUCCCCUGGAAGUGACAUUUCAUGAAAAUGUAGUGGGUGAUCCUUCUUUGUGGCCUCAAAUUGUCCCAGACAAGUUAAGAUUGUUUUUGCUAGAUCAAGGGCCAGUUCAAAUAAAGCAACCUGCCUAUCCGAAAGACGGUAAAAAUAGGUCAUUUUCGGAUUCUUACUACACCAAAAAGUUAAAGAACAAUGAAACAGUUAAUAGAGACUGGCUUUUGUAUUCCGUAUCUACCAAUUCAGUAUUCUGCUUCUAUUGUAAGCUUUUCAAUGAUAAUGUCACUACUUUUAGUGAUAACACAGGUUUCAAAAACUGGGAGCAUUUAUCUAGAAGUAGCGCAAUACUCGAAAAGAGUGCAGGACAUAUAUUGUCCAUUAAAAAAAGCAUAGAUCUAAAAGAGAAAAUAUUGAAAAGGAAAACUGUAGAUUCCAUAGAUCAAGCCGGAAUAGAACGUGAGAAGAAAAGGUGGACGGCUGUUUUAGAGAGAAUAAUUGUGCUAAUUAAUUUUUUGGCAGCUCAAAAUUUAGCAUUUAGAGGAAAUACUCAAACUUUGUUCCAACAAAGUUACGUCUUGUGGGUUUGUUGAAUUUAAAAUAAACCUGAGUGACGUUCCCUGCAUUUUGAGAGCUGGCUUGAUGUGAUGGAUUUGAAAUUUUAAAACAUGUUUAAAGUGUUCUCACAUUGUUUUAAGGUCUCCCUUAUUAAAGCAAAGGAUCAAGGUGUUAGGGGAACCUUAGAAUGUGAGGAAAAACCAUUCCAUACAAUGUACUGUAUCAAACUGUUUUACAUGAAUAACGCAGGUAUUGUCAAUUUAAAAAGGAAUCAACAUUGUUUACAUAAUAAGAUAAUUUGUCUUAAAUCUGCAAAAAACAAGAAUAAGCAAAACAAUGUGUUGUUAUAUACUUAAUAAUAUGUGCAAUGAUAAUAAACGGGCAACAAAAACA